CCACAGCGGGGGGACCUGGGGUCAGCCCCAUGGAGGUAGCUGG
rfam:Cavia porcellus prion protein mRNA, partial cds.